GCCAUCUUCACUGGGCCUAAGCCUUAGACCUAUCUUGAAAACAUCGGCAACGAGUUUAGCAUUUGUUGGCUGAUCGCUCCAUUGAGGGUAUGCAAUCACUGGCACGCCGGCGACGAUUGUUUCCAGCAACGAACUCCAACCACAAUGAGUCACAAAACAGGCAAGAGCAGGAUGAGCUAACACUUUAGUUUGAGGACACCAUGAUACCACAAGGCCUCGGUUUUUAGUUUCUUCAAGAAACCAUAACGGCAAAGUACCCUCACCAUCAGAAGAAGCAGAUUCUGAUUGCUUAACAAUCCACAAAAAUGGAAGCUUAAUGUUCUUCAAAGCUGUGGCUAUGACCUCCAUUUGAUUAGCUGAUAACUGGGUAAGGCUACCAAAUGAUAUGUAAACAACUGAAGAAUUUGAUUGUUUGUUAAGCCAUUCUAAGCAACAAUCUUCAGGCUUCCACCUUUCAACUCCAACAUCAAGCUUUUCAUCUUGGCCUAGCAAUGAAGGAGGGACUAAAGGACCGACAGGUCGUAUUGGACAAAGCUGAGACAUAGACUCAGUGGCUUCUUUCUCUAACUCAAAGAAAGAAUUUGCUAAUACCCACUUGUAUUGCUUAUUCAGGUUUUGGAACAAGUCAUUGAGAAUUCUUGAGAAGCUACCAAAUGGAUUUGAAGGGAGAACAAAUGAAGGCAAAUCAUGUGUGUGCAAAGUUUGUAACCCUGGUAACUCAACACUUGAAUUUGGAUUCUCCGAGGUGGGAAAUGGGUUUAAUUUGUUAUAGAAACGAUAGUAAAUAGAAAAAA
rnacentral:lncRNA from 1 species